AUCAACAUCAUCUUGAGAGCUAAGCUUACCAGAUGCCUAAGCUCCUUUAUUACCUUAGCUGGGAAAGGCGUUGGAGAUUUGUAUGCAAGCAAUGAAAGCGACUAGUGCUCGGCGUUAUUGCUCAAGUUUUGCUGAUUCACCGACUUCAAUACUCCCUCCCAUGAGCUAACUUAUUUACCAAUAAAAUAAAGUUCUCAUUUUUUAAAAUUAAAUAAAUAAUUCUUGCCAUGAUUUACCACUACGAAGAAGCUG
rnacentral:misc_RNA from 1 species